AAUUUAUUCUAAAUCAUGUUACUUACAAAAUAAAACUUCUUUAUGUUUUUUAAAAUAUCAUUUCUUUUAAAUUUAAGCGGUAUCGACUUUUCUCUUCUUCAGUAUCAGCUGAUGUUUUAAAAGCAUGCGCUCUUAAAAAUGCUGUAGAUUAUUUUUAUUAUGACAUAAAUAGAUUGUUAAACAAAAUAAAAAUUAGUCAUUGCUUAUUAUCCUAAAUUUACUCAAGUUUUUGAAAAAUAAUUGAUAUGGUAUGAUGUCAGAAUAUAACUUAAUAUCAGCAAUUCGAUUGGGACAAUUUGACAGAAUUAAUGAAAUGAUUGACAGUGUCGAUCUAUCUCACUGUCAAGCUUGCCCAUAUCAAUAUAUAUUGCUUCUUAAUGCUGUUAAAAAAAAUCAAACAAAUAUAGUCAAAUUACUGCUAUCAAAAAAUUUUCAAGUUAAUUAUUCAUCUAAAAAAUUAACUAAUUCACCACUUCAUUGGGCGGUUACAAAUACAAAUUAUGAAAUAAUUGAAAUGCUUCUGAAUAAUCAAGCUGAUGUAAAUGCUAAAAAUCAAUACGGUAAAACAUCACUUCAUCUAGCAAUUGAAAAAAAAAAUCUAAAAAUAACUGAAUUGCUUAUAAAUUUCGGAGCAGAUAUAAAUGCUCUUACAAAUCAUCAAGAAACACCUCUUUACAUUGCAACUAAUAAAUUAUGUUUGAAAAUGAUUAAAUUACUGUUAAAUAAACAAGCUGAUGUUAAUGCUGAAGCAAUUAAUGGUGUAACUCCUCUCUUUCGAGCCGUUGAUUUACAGUCUAGAGAAAUUGUUGAAUAUUUACUAGAAAAUGGAUCUAACAUAAAUUUUGUGUGUAAAUCAUUUUGGUAUGAUGGUUACACGCCUCUUCAUUUAGCUGCCGAAUUAGGAAAUGAAGAAAUUGUUAAAAUUUUACUUGAUCGAGAUGCUAAUAUAAAUGCUAAAACUAAAAAUGAAUUAAUACCAAUUUUCGUAGCUGCUGAAAAAAAUCAUGGGAAUAUUGUUAAAGUAUUAUUAGAUCACAGAGCUAAACUGUCUUCUAAAAAUGAAAAUGGUCAAACAAUUUUGAGUUAUUCUGUUAAGUCUGGGUAUUUGAUAAUUGUCGAACAGAUCUUAACACAUGAAAAAUAUUAUUUAGAUCCUGAUUCAACAGACAAUUGGGGUACACCACUUUUACAUUUGGCUGCUCGCUAUAAUCAUGUUGAAAUUAUUUUUAGUUUGCUCAAACAUGCUGCUGACAUUAAUUAUAAAGAUCAAUAUGGGAGAACAGCUCUCCAUAUCGCUACUCAAGCAAGACAAAUAAUAGCCACAGAAACUUUAUUAGAUAUGGGUGCUGAUAUUAACAUUGAGUGGGAAAAUGGUCAUACACCACUUGAUGAUGCUAAUUCUCCGGCUCUUUGUAGUAAAUUUGUAAGUUAUAAUAACUAUGAUAGUUUUGAUAGUUAUGAUUCAACUAAAGACGCGUUUAUAAAUGAAGAAAUUAUUGAAGCUUUAAAUCAACACAUUUUAAAAAUAAAAUUUGCUGGUUUUUAUGUGAGUGAAAAAAAUUAUCAAUCAGCUAUUGAUUAUUAUGACAAUAAUAAUAUUGAUAAAUACGAAAGUGAAUGUAAACUAGAAAUAGAAAAUUUAAAGUCUGAAAAAAUACGUGGUAGUAUUUCUUUGCAUGACAUCUUGACAAAGAAUAAUAGAUAUUUAUCAUUGUAUGCGAAAAAUAAAACUAUUGUAAAAUUAUUUGAAUCAAACGAAUAUGAGUUAAAUUUUCCAAUAUAUGGUGGUAUUAUUUAUGGAAAUUUUUCUAGAGGAGUAAGAAGAAAUUUAUUGAUUGAUAAAAUUGAUGAGUAUGGUUUUGAUGAAAUUUUUUAUCAAUUACCAAUAGCUUGUAUUGAGGAAAUAAUAAGUUUUCUCAAUGAAAAUGAUUUAAAGAUCCCACCAGAGUUCGAAUGGAGACUCGCUCGUGAUACAUAUCCCCUCGAGUAACAUAAAUAUACCCUAUAUAUACCCUAGGUUCAAUGGGAACAUCCACUACAGACAUCAAGAACAUCUGUACACAGACUUUUUUUAUUCUGCUUUAGGUAUAAUAUAUAGAUUACUGAAGGCUCUGUGAGUAGUAUGCCCAGCUCGACCACUUUUUGAGCCUGGAACUAUGUUACACAGUUCGAAGCCUAACCAGUUGUCAAGCUUCUAACUGCUGGCUCCCAUAUCCAAAAAUUCCCAUAGAAUCCACUCAACUGCGACAAAAACCGCAUAGAAUCCUACAGACUGUAUUUGUUUCUAUGCGGUUUUUGUUGCAGUUGAGUGGAUUCAAUGGGAAUUUUUGGAUAGGGACGUGGCCUAAUUGGGACGAUAGCCAAAAGGAGAAAAAAAAAAGCUUCUAACUGUAUAACAACAGUUAGAAGCCCAAGGACAGUAUAUUUUGAUUACGGUUAACGAAUUAUAACAAAAAAAUAUCACGAUCAAUAGUGUCAUGUAAAUGUAAACAUCAUCAUUGUUAUCAUUCUUUAUACUCAGACAAUAAAUUCCAGAAAUGUAUUUUAAACUUUUACUGAUAUGAGAAUAAGAGAAGGAUAUCUGAGUGAUCUU